rnacentral:rRNA from 1 species
GAUGAACGCUGGCGGCGUGCCUAAUACAUGCAAGUCGAGCGAACAGACGAGGAGCUUGCUCCUCUGACGUUAGCGGCGGACGGGUGAGUAACACGUGGAUAACCUACCUAUAAGACUGGGAUAACUUCGGGAAACCGGAGCUAAUACCGGAUAAUAUAUUUAACCGCAUGGUUCAAUAGUGAAAGACGGUUUUGCUGUCACUUAUAGAUGGAUCCGCGCCGCAUUAGCUAGUUGGUAAGGUAACGGCUUACCAAGGCAACGAUGCGUAGCCGACCUGAGAGGGUGAUUGGCCACACUGGAACUGAGACACGGUCCAGACUCCUACGGGAGGCAGCAGUAGGGAAUCUUCCGCAAUGGGCGAAAGCUUGACGGAGCAACGCCGCGUGAGUGAUGAAGGUCUUCGGAUCGUAAAACUCUGUUAUUAGGGAAGAACAAAUGUGUAAGUAACUAUGCACGUCUUGACGGUACCUAAUCAGAAAGCCACGGCUAACUACGUG